rnacentral:rRNA from 1 species
UACGUAGGGGGCAAGCGUUGUCCGGAUUUAUUGGGCGUAAAGAGCGUGUAGGCGGCUAGAUAGGUCCGUUGUGAAAACUCGAGGCUCAACCUCGAGACGUCGAUGGAAACCAUCUGGCUAGAGUCCGGAAGAGGAGAGUGGAAUUCCUGGUGUAGCGGUGAAAUGCGCAGAUAUCAGGAGGAACACCGGUGGCGAAGGCGGCAUCCUGGACCAAUACUGACGCUGAUGAGCGAAAGCCAGGGGAGCAAACGGG